GCCGUUGUAGCUCAGUGGCAGAGCGCUUCCAUGGUAAGGAAGAGGUCGGCAGUUCAAUCCUGCCCAACGGCU
rnacentral:tRNA from 1 species